UUACUCUUGCAAAUUAGAUUAAAAAAUUUAAUUUAAUCUAAACAGGCGUUGCAUGGCUGUCGUCAGCUCGUGUUGUGAAAUGUUUGGUUAAAUCCUUUAACGAGCGCAACCCCUAUUAUUAGUUGCUAAUUUAUUUAAAUAAAUAAAAGCACUCUAAUAAAAAUGUCAAUGAUAGGUUGAAGGAAGGUAGGGAUGACGUCAAGUCUUCAUGGCCCUUAUGAGUUGGGCUACACACGUGCUACAAUGAUAAUUACAAUGAGAGGCAAUAAUGAUUUAAAAUUGGAGCAAAUCUUUAAAAAUUAUCUUAGUUCGGAUUAUGGGCUGAAACUCGCCAUAUGAAGCUGGAAUCGCUAGUAAUCGCAGAACAGCAUGCUGCGGUGAAUAUGUUACUAGACUUUGUACACACCGCCGUCACAUCAAGGAAGUUAAAUAUUUUUAAAAUGAUUUUUAGGUAUUUUAUUUUAAUAAAUAAUUAUUUAAUUUUAAUAAUUAUAUUU
rnacentral:rRNA from 1 species